rnacentral:rRNA from 1 species
CCUACGGGUCGCAGCAGUGAGGAAUAUUGGUCAAUGGGCGCGAGCCUGAACCAGCCAAGUCGCGUGAGGGAAGACGGUCCUAUGGAUUGUAAACCUCUUUUGUCGGGGAGCAAAAGACGCCACGCGUGGCGUUCCGAGAGUAACCGAAGAAAAAGCAUCGGCUAACUCCGUGCCAGCAGCCGCGGUAAUACGGAGGAUGCCAGGGUUAUCCGGCUUUAUUGGGUGUAAAGGGUGCGCAGGCGGAAGCUGAAGUCAGCGGUAAAAUUGAGAGGCUCAACCUCUUCGAGCCGUUGAAACUGGUUGUCUUGAGUGCGUGAGAAGUAGGCGGAAUGCGUGGUGUAGCGGUGAAAUGCAUAGAUAGCACGCAGAACUCCGAUUGCGAAGGCAGCAUACCGGCGCUCAACUGACGCUCAUGCACGAAAGUGUGGGUAUCGAACAGGAUUAGAUACCCUGGUAGUC